CGUAUGUCCAGGGCGAGGCGGCGUGGUGUGUACAGUACGUAUGUCCAGGGCGAGGCGGCGUGGUGUGUACAGUACGUAUGUCCAGGGCGAGGCGGCGUGGCGCCGGCGCGGCGACGUGGUGGUGCGGACGGUGCACGUGCUGGAGCUGGCCACGAAGCUGUUCCUGGUGGUGCAGAACGCGGUGGGCGCGCCGCCGCACGUCAACAUCGCCACGGAGUUCGAGGCCAACUUCGGCCAGCAGUUGGUGACGCUGUCGUUCCACGCGCUCGGCGAGGGGGGCGGCGCGCGCCUACUGCGCCGGGGCUCGCGCAUGGACGUGCUGGUGUGACGCGCCCCCGCGCCCCCGCUCUAUGGGAGGGGGGAGCGCGCGCCCCCGCCUGUUCGUCCCCUCGGUACUGAAGCUCAGUUUUGUUUCGGACUGUAUCUUCAUUCAACCGCUGACAUCCAGGUUGUCAAAGACUUGUCGAUGCAACAAUUGAAUCUGUUGUCAAGAGUCAUUUGCGAUGUGAACAACUUGUAAUGACUUCAUUUGUGGGUCUGAAACACUUAUUACGUCCCAUUAAUAUGGCCAAUUAAUUCAUUAAGAUUGUGCGUGAAUUAAAUGUUAAAUAAAUCUUUUUCUUUGGAUGUAACUAGUUUAAGAAAUUGGAAUUAAUUGACAGAGCUGUCAGACUGUCGAGUUCGUCGAUUACUGCUAGGAUAAUCCGUUUACAAAGUGAGCGCAAGUUGUGUGUUGCUUUGAAGUAGAUGUUAUUGUGCCAGUGCAGCCAGUACAGGGACCCAGGCCGGAUGUUUCGACGUAUUCUGUACAUGUAAUAACUAGGACUAGCCAUUAUAUGGUUUACAGAGAUGGUAUCCUAAUCUGUGUGAAGAAGCCAGCCACCAGUGUAGUGUAGUCCCAGUAAGGGAGUGUCCACGCAUGGCGCGGCACUGGACGCUCCCAGCUGCCCGCGGUCACGGACAUUCUUAGAUAAAUUCUGUUACUGUAUAGACGUAUUUCUGAGCACGGACUGGACAACUAAACCCAUGUAUAUAUAGAUUCUCUUAAUAAUACGAACUAUGACACACGCCACUGCUUUAGUCCUGACACCAACUGUAGCGGCGUCGUAUCGAUUGGUCCGUCACGACGGCGCGUCGUUAAGGUCCAGGGCGCAGCGUUGCUUCAAUAUACUUUUCAUUAGCUUUUGUCCGCGGGAUCGCCCGCAUCUCUUAGGAUAAAUGGCCUAUGUGUUAUUUCAGACCAUAAUCUUCACCUAUUUCAAACCAUUCAGAAGGAGUAACAAACAAAUGUACAGUGUUUCGCUUCUAUAGUCGGCUGACGGCACCAUUGCGUGUCUUUCAACGGGUCGACGGACUAGAGAGGUAGCGGUAGGUAGGGUGAUGCGCUGCGUCGACAGUCAUCUUGUUUAUAUCUAUCGAUUGCGAAGGAUGAACUGACACGCAGCUACGACGUCGAGCGUCGUCGUGGUGUAGACCACAUUUUGUAUUUUUGCGGAAUUGUCACCGUCUAUGUAUGUGGAGUCCUGCUUGAUUGUGCCGCACAAAUAUUGUCGGCUUUGUCUUAACUUGUUGUCGGGCAGGAAGCAUGCCAGGCAUGGUCACCUCGCCUUGUCGGAGCAUCCUCCUUUUCUUAGGGAACUUCACUGUCUGUUCUCUAAACAAUAAAGUGUGGGAGAGCCAUGCUUCGGCACGAAUGGGCCGGCUCGACCGGAGUGAUACCACGAGUCCAUGCGCGACGCCGAUUGCUUACCAUCAGGUGAUCCGCCUGCUCGUUUACCGGCUUAUGCCACAAAAAUUACUCGAGUGCGGCAGAAAUGUGUCGUAGUAAUGUUGCGUGUUGGUGCCGCGCUCUUGCCGCGCAGUGUUUGGACACCUGUCGGUCUGCUGUCACUACAACAGAGCGAGAAGUAACGUCAAGGAAUUAAUUCGUUCGUUAGCUUCCGAGGCGACAGUAGUGGCCACAUACACAGUUCAGCCGCAGCACUACAAGUAGGUGACGGAGGAGUCGAGGCGCUCAGCUCGUGCGGUCCGCGUCAUGUCAUCGUAUCAGUGCCUUAGUCUCCCCCCCCCCAUGCUGUCGGCGCGCUGACUGCUGGCGAAUGAUAUUUGUGAUCAUGUCUUAUGAGCUAGCUGCGUACCUGUCUGCGUAGGUACUUAAUCGAGUAUUCGUAGUGUUAAUAUGUAAGCGUAGUACUGUACCUAAUAGAGUGCGAGGGAUGGUGCACUCGAACACUUUGUCCCGACGAGUUUAAACCUGUACAUUUUGACAUAGGUCUGGAGUCGAUCUGAUGACGGAGCCGAAAGAUAGUCGAGGGAAGUCCUCAACGGUUUAUAGUAACUACCUCGUGUUAUGGCUUAAUUAAUUUAAAUUGAUGAGAACUUUACGCCUAUAUGGAGUGGGACUGUCAUUAGGGGUCUGAUGAUAAAAAAGUGUAAUUGUUGAGUGAACUCCUCAAUGUUAUAUAGUAACUACCUACCUUGUGUUAGGGUUUGUAUAAUUUGUAUUAUAACUUUUGCACUUAUGUAGAUUAUACGUGGAAAAACGGGUACAUGUAGCUUUACCCUAAAAAAUAUGAAAUAAAAAAAAAACGUUUAAAUAACAGACUUCAAAAAACCCAUAGCUAAAAACAAACAAAAACUAAAAAGAUAAAAUAACUAUUAUUAGUACUGAUAGGUUAGAAGUCACCAAUGUGACCAAGGGAAAUUGGAAUUCAUUUUUAUAUAAAAAUAUAUUACUUAAAUUACUCUGUAGCAAAUUCCAUCAGUUACCAAUGGCAAUGACACUGCAGAUUGUUUAUUCUUGUUGAAUGUUCUCAAUGGCAAUGUGGAGAGACCAGAACUAUUAUCAAAAAUCCACUUAUCCCGUUCCUCGUGUAACUAUCGGCAGAACAGUGACAUUGUACCUGCAAACAGAGAGACAAAGUAUUCGAAACGAGACCUCGCUCGGCGCUGUGAUUGGCCUCUGAUUGGCCGCACCAAUGAAGCAACCAAUCAGCGCCGAACGCAUACUCGUUUCGAAUACUUUAAACGCGAAACAAACUUGUACUGAGGCCUCCGAUACUAUAACAGUAUUUGUAUUCGAUCGAUCCGUUUACAACUAGUGUGAACUCAGCUAAGAGGUGCUCAAGUCUCAAUUUAAUUAAGCAGCAAUCGAUACAUAGUUUUCUUUGUUUCUUUCUGUGUUUGUAAUCAUAUUGUCUGCACGGUCUGUGUUUCUGUAUUUCCCUCUUCCAUUUACUCAGAAUAUAUAUAACUUUGUAUAGUAGGUAUUCACACCAUAUUAGUUAAUUCAUUCCAAAUACUAAACGAGGACUUGUAAUUGCCUCGUUGAUACCUACGCCUGUUGUUAUUUCUAUCCAUUUUUAUAAGCGAAAAGUUCUCCAAGAACUAUAAAUUCUUUUCAAAUGUUCGAAGUUAUUCCUCUAAUAAAAUUUAACUAGCGUUGGAAAAAUCGGCCUUUGAUUGAUAUUUCCCUUUUAUUAUAUUGUUUGAACGUCGAACGAUCCUUCGUCUUCGUUAAAGCUGAUUAAAACGUAGAAGUUUUACUUUUGUGCCAAGAUUUAAGUAGUGAAGUGUAAUAUUUAGAUGUAGUGAAACACUGCGGCACGUUAGAUGUAGCCGGUGCGGGACGGAGGGCGGCCAGCCCCGCCGCCGUAGGUUAGUGCUGUAGUGCUGGGGCCUAGUGCAUCACGCCAACUUUGUCAUUUUGAACUACUUUUUAUAACUAAUUAAAUAGAUGUUAUUGGUAUUAAGUAAGUUAAGGUAGAAGGUUUGAGAUUAUUGUAUUUGUAAGAGGUCGCUCCGGUCGCGGCCGUAAUGUAAUCGGAUACAGACUGUGUUGUAAUAGAUGACAAAUAUAUCGCUGUUGGAGCUGUUUGUGAAGCACUGACUGGGGCGGGGACACGUCGUCGCCGCCCGACAGUCGACGCUGUUGUCCAAACUAUACAUUUUUGUUAAUUUAAUAAAAUGUCAUGUUACGGUUUUCAACAAAACUAAAUUAUGUCAAAGUUUUAACGUUUUCAAUAAAAGAUCGAAAAAUAAAA